UGGGCAAUUCUGCCCUUCACUCUGGGACAAAGACCCUGGAAACGGGGUCUAAUACCGGAUAACACUCUGUCCUGCAUGGGACGGGGUUAAAAGCUCCGGCGGUGAAGGAUGAGCCCGCGGCCUAUCAGCUUGUUGGUGGGGUAAUGGCCUACCAGGGCGACGACGGGUAGCCGGCCUGAGAGGGCGACCGGCCACACUGGGACUGAGACACGGCCCAGACUCCUACGGGAGGCAG
rnacentral:rRNA from 1 species